rnacentral:rRNA from 1 species
GACGAACGCUGGCGGCGCGCUUAACACAUGCGAGUCGAACGGAAAGGCCUGCUUUCCCUUGUGGAUUGCGGGUACUCGAGUGGCGAACGGGUGAGUAACACGUGAGUGAUCUGCCCCCAACUUGGGUAUAAGCCUGGGAAACUGGGUCUAAUUCCCGAUAGGACUGCAGGGUGGUGCCUGUGGUGGAAAACGAUUUUCUAGUGGUUGGGGAUGAGCUCGCGGCCUAUCAGCUUGUUGGUGGGGUAAUGGCCUACCAAGGCGGCGACGGGUAGCCGGCCUGGGAGGGUGGACGGCCACAUUGGGACUGAGAUACGGCCCAGACUCCUACGGGAGGCAGCAGUGGGGAAUAUUGCACAAUGGGCGGAAGCCUGAUGCAGCGACGCCGCGUGGGGGAUGACGGCCUUCGGGUUGUAAACUCCUUUCGACCGCGAGGAAGCCACCUGGUUGGAAGGGUGGUGACGGUAGUGGUAGAAGAAGCACCGGCUAACUACGUG